ensembl:lncRNA
UUGGGAAUUCACUUGAUGAGUCAGAAAACCCCACAAGAUACACUUUUAUGACUACAGCAACAUGGAAGUAGAAAUCUGUACAAGCUAACCAAAACCUAGCAAUUGCAUGUGUUUUAAACAGUAGUUAACUGUUGCAGAACUAUCACAAAAUUCUCUCCUAAACGAAUACUGCAGUAUUAUAAGACACCUCGUAAUGAAGGUUUUAAUAUGUUUACUAGAGUCAGUCAACGGUGAAGUUCACUCAGGAGUACCCAGUCUGAUGGAGCAAAUGGCAGAAGACCAGUUAAUAAAACCAACACAUUCCAAUUGUUUGAUAUAAGAGCUUGUUGGGAGUGUGACUUUUUUUUUUUUUUAAGGCCAUUUAAUUACAUACCCUGAUGUCUUCACUCAGCCAUUCUCUAAAAUAUAUUUUCCCAAUUUCGGCAUAUACCCCUUCUCCACUCUCAAUUAGCUCUUGCAUUGGGCCUUGGCUUCCAAGCCCCAUAAGUAAUAGUAACUUAAUUUUCCAAGCCAUAAAUCAGGUAGGCUUACGCUCCAUAGCUCAUGUUCCAUUUGUUUUUAAUCAAGGGCAGCCUGGUACUCAGAGGUCGGAAGCUUUAAUUCAGAGGGGCUCCCACAACUUUUGGAGGGAGAAAUCUUUUUGGUUUUCUAGAAUUCCCUUUGUGAAUGUUUUAAGUAUCCUUUUGGAAAACAUUGGAAUAUGUAUAGCAUCUCAUACAGAAUCCUUCUUUACUUUACUGACCUACACACAGCUGCAGCUCUCAGAUUAAAAGAAACGUUUAACAACAUUUCUUCACUUAUGUACUCUGAUUUUAAUGUUGUCCUUUCAAAAGAAAUGCAGUUGCAGGGAAAAGGGAUGUGAGGAAGGGAGUUAGAAGGUAUUAAAUUUCUAGAAAUCAUUUUAAUGAAAUAGUUCUAAUAAGAAGUAGUAUCAUUGGGAUGGUUUAGGUUCAACAUCGCCUUGAGAAAGAAGAACGUUAAUUAACCUCUUUUGAAGCUUAUAAAUAUUCAGAGGAAUCUUUAGGAAGCACAGGAUUUCAGGGCUUCCCUGGUGGUUCAGUGGUAAAGAACCUGCCUGCCAGUGCAGGAGAUGUGGGCUCAGUCCAUGGGCUGGGAAGAUCCCCUGGAGAAGGAAAUGGCAACCCACUCCAGUGUUCUUCCCUGCAAAAUCCUAUGGACAGAGGAGCCUGGUGGGCUGCAGUCCAUGGGGUUGUGAAGACCUGCACACAGCUGAGCCACUGAACAACAACAAGAACAGCCACAAAACACCUUCCAGCCAGGGAAGACGGCUAAGAGGUAUGGGAUGUAUCUGAGCUGUGGCGUUUAAGGCAGGAAUUAGAAAAGCAAAAAGGAAGCAAAAAUGGACACGUGAAUACAGGAAGACUUGACUCAAUAAAGUCUUUAGGUCAUAGUUUUCAGUUAAAGAAAAAAAAAUGCAUGUUACAUGUGAUGUGUAUACUCACAGAACUGGGUUUUAUUUGUGUUUAUAUGGACUGUGCCAAGCUACAUAUGUGUGUCCAUGCACAGAACUGUGUGUGGAUUAGCCACUGUUUCACACUAUCUGUGCAGCAUGCACUCUCCAUUAGUGAUGCUGAACGAGUCAUUUGUUCAUUUAUUUAUUCAUUUCUUAUCAGACGUCUAUCGAAUAUUUGUUGAACAUCCAUGUGUCAUGUCUUAUACUAAGACCUAAAAAUGUUGUCUGUGCCUCUCCUGGAGAGUGUCCUGUAUCACAGGAGCCACACUAUUGACUUACGAUAUCAAUAGUGUACAACAGGACACAUAUUAAAAAAGAGCGUGGCUCCAUCUGAGAGGCUAUGGAAGGCUCUGCAGAGCAGAUGAGCAAAUGGGUCGGCCUUUGAAGGAUUAGCCAAUACAAGAAAUGGAAUAACAUUCCAGAAGGAGCAAUGGAACGUACAGUGGAUUAUCCCCAUGGACGUGCACAGUAUGGGUGGGGAAAUGUAAAUAUUUUGCAUGUUAGGCUAUAGAGGAGAGUGCCAUUGAAGACCAGAAGCAUCAUUAGAUGUUUCCUUUCACGAAGACAGCUGGUCAACCAUAAUGGCCUAUUGUAGGGCGCAGGGAACUCUGCUCAAUACUGUGUAACAACCUAAAUCCCAAAGAGUGUGAAAAAGAAUAGAUGCAUCUAUAUGUCUAACUGAACCACUUUGCUGUACACCUGAAUCUAAUACAGAAUUGUUAAUCAUCUUUACUCCAAUAUAAAAUAAAUUUGAAAUAUUGCUGGAUAAUUUGGAAGACAAAGAUAUUAGAGGAAAGUAACACACUGGCAAAUGCUCACAGGAAUCCAAGUGGGAGGGGAUGAAAGGAAGGACUGUGGAAUUGGAAAAGAGAAAACGGACACGAUAGAUACUUCAGAAUUUUCAGGAUGAACUUGAAAAAGGUCGCUAUCUAAUUUGGGAGCAGUUUUCAAGCUAUUUGUCAAUUUUUUUUUUUUUAAUUUCUACUCAGUCAUGUUUUUUUUUUUUUUUGGUCCCUGUUUCCCUGGAAGCCCUGGUAUCCAGUCAAUUAAAGAAAUGAUGGAUAGUGGGUGGCCCAGAAGCCUCUUCGUGGUGACUAAUGGUUUCAGCGACCUUCGUGUGAAAGAGGCAGUUGUAGAUACUGGCAGGAGGGGAAGGUGCCCCUCCCUGGGGUGAGUGCCAGCUCCAGGACACUGUUCCAGAUGUCCUGGGGAGCCCAGUGGUCUUUAUCCCCAGCUCCAAUAGCAUCCAGGGAAUAUACUCCCACAAGCAGAUGCCUUCAGCCACAGGAUGGGGACUCCUGUAAUUGCUUACAUUUGGCAUCCAAGGUCUCACCACAAGGUUGGCAGAGACCGGUCACACACAGAGAAGGACGUGUCUGUGGGCAUGACCCUCUCCAAAGCCAUGGUCUCAUGGGUGGAGGUGACUCAGGGUGGAAGGACCACGUGAGAGCUCUGCAGUCACCAGGAGGACCUGAGGUUGGGUUUGUAUUAACACCCUUGGCUUUGGCUACUUUGCUAAACCUCAGAAGGGUGGCUUGGAGGCUGGAAAUGUUACAGGGAAAGACCUGCUGGGGAGCGGCCUGGUCCAGCGGACCUUGAUCUUUGUGCUUGGACUCUCCUCUGAGCAGGCCCUGUGUACGGUCUGCAUGGCACCAGGGGAGGAAGAGCAUAAGAGUGAAGGUCCUCUUUAUUAGUGCAUAGAGUCCACCUCACCUCUUACAAAGCCUUCAUGUACUGGAAACUCAUGUCUAAAAGAAAGGUCAGUCAUUGGUGGGAUGUUUUUUAAAUGUUUGUUUUUGUCAGAAUCAAGUCUGAGUUGGGGCAGGCAGGAUCGUGUUGUACCAGAGACUGAACCCGUGGCCCCUGCAUUGGAAGGUGGAUUUUUCACCCCUGGGCCACCAGAAAAGUCCCUUUUUUUUUUUUUUUUUUUUAAUCCUAAUAAGUUUACUCCCCUCCGGCUGCCAUCUUUUGCAGGAGGAAAGUGGAGGGGGCGGCUCCCAUCCUAUGGGGGCUUCCCUGGUGGAUCAGACCGUAAAGCAUCUGCCUGCAAUGUGGGAGACUGGGAUUCAGUCCCUAGGUCAGGGAGAUCUCUUGGAGAAGGGAAGGGCAACCCAUUCCAGUAUUCCUGCCUGGAGAAUCCCAUGGACAGAGGAGCCUGGCGGGCUGCAGUCCACGGGGUCACAAAGAGCCGGACACGACUCUGCGCAACUAACACUUUCAUACUUUCCCACCCAAAAGGAAGACCCAUGUGUGUGAGUCUGUGUGACGUCUCUAAGCAUACAGGUUCACUGUGCAUGUGAGUAUGUCAGUAUUUUAUCCCCGUGAUCACUGAAAGGCAGGAGACACAGCUCCCAGGACAGGAAUCCUCCUCCCUUUGGCUUCAUGCACCCUCCACUUCCUUGAGCCUCUGUGCUCAUGCGCCAACGACGCCCUACCUACCGCGCUUUUCCUUUUCUUUCUCCUCCUACUGCUCCCGCUUUUCAUCCUCCUGUGUCUUGCUCUCUUUGACUUUGCUCUUUUUCCUCUUCCAUGUUUUCUUCCCAUGUCUCACGGAAGAGUAAAGAUUAACUGACUGCUUUAUUUGUUUCUGUGUUUACUGCUGUGUGGAUUUAAAAGAGAAUAAGUGGAGAGUGGGAUGUGUGUGUGUGUGUGUGUGUGUGUGUGUGUGUGUGUAUGGGUGUAUGAGAGAGAGGACAUAAAAGUGUGAGAACUCAUGAGAGUUUUGGUAGGUGGCAAACAAAAUAUACUAUUAGAAAUGAAACAUACACAGCACAGGAAAUUCUACUCAAUAUUCUGUAAUAACCUACAUGGGAGAAGAAUCUGAAGAAGAACGAGUGUGUGUAUCGGUGUAACUGAAUCGCUUUACUGUACACCUGAAACUAACACCACCCUGUGAAUCAAAUGCACACCAGUAGAUAUUAAAAAAGAGUAAACGCAGACACAUUUAAUCAUCCUGAAAGUUGUAUUCUAAAAGUCUUAAAAUCAUGCUUUGUUAACCAGAUUUGGAAUACUAUUUUUGAUAUGAUGAAUGAAUGUACUGACACAGAGUAUUAAGUUGAAAUGCAAUUAUAAGUAAAAUGGAGUAAAUUUAAAAAAAGAAAUUAGAACAAAAUACCCUAGCUGGGGAUAAUUCUGCUUCUUGAAGAUGCUUAUAGAAUUCAUAUGGGGAGAUGACAUUCCCUGCCUUUUUUACUUGCAGAGAUUGGUGGGCAAGCAUGAGAUGUCUAAGAAUGAGUUCUUGUUCAAUCACUAAGCCUUGUCUAACUCCUUGCUAACCCCAUGGACUGCGGCACUCCAGGCUUCACUGUCCUUCACUGUCUCCCGAGGUAGUGACGUCAUUCAACUAUCUCAUCCUCUGUCAUCCCCUUCUCUUUCUGCCUUUAAUCUUUCCCAGUCUCAGGGUCUUUUCCAAUGAGUCAGUUCUUCCCGUCAGGUGACCAAAGUAUUGGAGUUUCAGCAUCAGUCAUUCCAAAUGAAUAUUCAGAGUUGAUUCCCUUUAGGAUGGACUAGUUUGAUCUCCUUGCAGUCCAAGGGACUCUUAAGAGUCUUCUCCAGCACCACAAUUUGAAAACAUCAAUUUUUUGGUGCUCAGCAUUCUUUAUGGUCCAACUCUCAACAUCUGUAAAUGAGCAAAUAAAACCAAUUUUAUUUCCUAGACCAUCCUAAAUGAGUUUGGGGCCAGGCUAAGGUGGACCAGAGCCUCUGAAGCAGGGCCGGGGGUGGGAGGGCUGCAUCAUUUUGCAUAAGAAGCAUAUUCACAGGAGGAGAAGGAGACUGAGGCUAGACCCAGAGGAGAAGGAAAGGGAGAAGCAGGGGAAUGGCUGCAGCACAAGACAGAGACAGCCCGUGAGCGGUGUCCUGAGGUGGCAUCAGCCCGUGAGCGGUGUCCUGAGGCGGCAUCAGCCCGUGAGCGGUGUCCUGAGGCGGCAUCAGCCCGUGAGCGGUGUCCUGAGGCGGCAUCAGCCCGUGAGCGGUGUCCUGAGGCGGCAUCAGCCCGUGAGCGGUGUCCUGAGGCGGCAUCAGCCCGUGAGCGGUGUCCUGAGGCGGCAUCAGCCCGUGAGCGGUGUCCUGAGGCGGGAUCAGCCAGUGAGCGGUGUCCUGAGGUGGCAUCAGCCAGUGAGCGGUGUCCUGACGUGGCAUGAGCCAGUGAGAGGUGUCCUGACGUGGCAUCAGCCAGUGAGCGGUGUCCUGAGGUGGCAUCAACCCGUGAGAGGUGUCCUGACGUGGCAUCAGCCAGUGAGAGGUGUCCUGAGGUGGCAUCAGCCCGUGAGAGGUGUCCUGAGGUGGCAUCAGCCCGUGAGCGGUGUCCUGAGGUGGCAUCAGCCCGUGAGCGGUGUCCUGAGGUGGCAUCAGCCAGUGAGAGGUGUCCUGAGGUGGCAUCAGCCAGUGGAAUGUUCAUGCAAGCAGGUGCUCUGUUGGUCCCUGUGAUAUCUGGCAUUGGAACCAUCUUGUUUCAUUCUUUAACUUCCAACCUGUUUAACCUCAAACUUCCUUUUGCAAUAAAUCCAUCUUACUGAUUCUGCAGAAUCAACUUUGGAUGACACUGUCUGGGGAAAGGCAACGCAAGUGGGAGAAGAGAACCCUCAUGUGAGACAUAAGUAGUUCAGCACGAGCAGGAGCUUCAUUCCUUUACAACACCCACCAAUCAUAGGAGAGAGGUCCAUGUCUCUCUCAAGAUACAGAAUGGAGGCAAUUUGCAUAGAUACUCACCGAAAUGUCCUCAUGAACUUGAAUGACCUUGAAGAUCUUGGAGUGUGAGGCAUAAGUUACACACACACAUACACACACACUCACUAACUCACUCACUCACUAGCCAGCCUACCUGAUUUUGCUGGAGAGUCUUGUUAACUGUUGUCAAAUAAGUUAAUUCCCGCUAGUACUCAACCGGAAAUGCCGUUCUACCUGAGGUCGCAGAUUUGAGAGGCAGCUCAAUAGAACAUUAGGGGCCUCUAACAGAGGCUGCCCUGAGUGACUGCAGAUUCAGGCUUGUAUUUAUCUGUACUGAAUGCUUCCUCCGUCCCUGGCAUCUUCGGAAGGUGUGUCCCUUUCCAUUUGAUUCUUGUGGCAGUUGUCACUGCUUUGGACUCCAUGUUUUGACUUGCAGCUGGGUGUCCCCAAAGUAAAUUUAAUCACAGUAUCCCUCAAAUGCUCUCCAAAGGUGGUCAAGUUACUCUCAUUACUCUCAACAAACAAGAGCCAAGAAGUUAAAUUGUUUAGAUUUGCUUAUAUGACCUUCUCCUACUAUAGGGGAAAAGGUACAGAUAAGCCACUCUCAGGGGCUUCCCAGGUGACGUAGUGGUAAAGAAUCCACCUGCCAAUGCAGGGGACACGAGAUGUGGGUUUGAUAUCGGGGUCAGGAAGAUCCCCUGGAGGAGGGCAUGGCAGCCCAUUCCAGUAUUGUUGCCUGGGAAACCCCAUGGACAGAGGAGCCUGGAGGGCAGUCCGUGGGGUCGCAGAAUCGGACGUGACUGAAGUGACUGAGCACACGCUUAAGCCGCUCUCAGAGCCCUCUGCCAGCUCUCUGGUUGCUCAGUGGCCGCGUCCCUGGAUCUCACAGCGGAGGGAAAUGCUGCGCUCGCUGCACGGACCCCACUUGAGGAGUAGCUCACGCGUCUUUGCCUUCACUCUGUCCCACACGGUUCGCUCACCUCUUCUUCGAGAGUACUCAUGUUUCUACCACCUUUGAAACUGAAAAGUGAAAACAGCAAAAUUCUCUUGUUCGUCAUGACCCAAUGGGAGAUAGGGGUGAGCUGCGCUCUCUGCGAGGUGCUGAAUGGAUGAAAAGGACCCCAAACAUAUGGAAAAUAUGGAGAAUGGGGUCUAAGUCAUAAAAAUAAAAAUAAAA